rnacentral:rRNA from 1 species
UUGGAGGGCAAGUCUGGUGCCAGCAGCCGCGGUAAUUCCAGCUCCAAUAGCGUAUAUUAAAGUUGUUGCAGUUAAAAAGCUCGUAGUUGAAUUUCGGGAUCAAUAUGUCGGUCGUGCCUUCGGUACGUACUGGUAUCAUUGGUCUCUCCUUUCUGACGAACCAUGAUGUCAUUAAUUUGGUGUUAUGGGGAGUUAGGACUGUUACUUUGAAAAAAUUAGAGUGUUUAAAGCAGGCUUUAGCUUGAAUACAUUAGCAUGGAAUAAUGAAAUAGGACGUUUGAUCCUAUUUUGUUGGUUUCUAGGAUUGACGUAAUGAUUAAUAGGGAUAGUUGGGGGCAUUAGUAUUCAAUUGUCAGAGGUGAAAUUCUUGGAUUUAUUGAAGACUAACUACUGCGAAAGCAUUUGCCAAGGAUGUUUUCAUUAAUCAAGAACGAAAGUUAGGGGAUCGAAGACGAUCAGAUACCGUCGUAGUCUUAACCAUAAACUAUGCCGACUAGGGAUCGGAUGAUGUUAAUUUUUUAAUGACUCAUUCGGCGCCUUACGGGAAAC